UACAGAAUAUAAAACGUUAUCCCAUUCUGAUUUUGAAAAAUUGCAGUGGUAUGUGCUUAACAAUUGUGAGGAUGUUGAUGAAUAUCUUAAGAUUCACAUUGAAGAAUUACAAAAGGAAAGUGUUAUAGAUGUGCAAAAAAGACACCAGGCAGGAUUUGCCAGUUGGUUCAAGGAGUGUGUUGGACGCUUACGUGCUACUGGUUUGGUUGCAGCAACAGAUCAUAUAUAUGCGUUGGGAUUAGGUCCUGAUAUACGAAUUGCUAGGUACAGUGGGAUAAUUGUCAAUGGAGUUAGGUUUCACACAGUUGAGCGUGAUAAUUUUCGUCGGACUCAAAAUAAUGGAGUUUCAA